rnacentral:misc_RNA from 1 species
GUAAUGACCUCCAAUGCUAAUAUAUCGGCGGGCAGGUUCUAAUGUUCAGGCCCGCCGAGAGCCAUGAAUUGUGUAUGAUGGAACUACCGAGGGUUGGGCAACCCUUGUGCAAUUCGUGUUUUAAAGAAGCUGGUUUUUAAAAGUAAGCCCUCUAUUGUAUUUUUAAUGGAGACACUAGUCUCUUCUUCAAGAAUUAGUGAAAUAAAGCUCCUUAUUGGUUAUGAUAGUUGUUUUGUGGUUGAUUGUGUGGGGAGAAGUGGUGGUUUAGCUCUGUUUUGGAAGAAUUCAGUUUCUGUUCAAGUGAGUGGUUUUUCUCAAAAUCACAUAGAUUGUGUUGUUAACUCCAACAUUUCAGGUUCUUGGCGUUUUAUAGGUUUUUAUGGGUAUCCUGAACAAGCUCGUAGGCAAGCUUCUUGGGAUUUUCUUCAAAGUCUUGCUUUGGUUUCUAAUCACCCUUGGUUGUGUAUAGGUGAUUUUAAUGACAUGCUUUUUGCCUUGGAUAAAAGUGGUGGUGUUCCUCAAUCUCAAUUUUACUUAAUGGCUUUCAAUCGACCAUAGAUGACUGCUCUUCUUGAUUUGCCUUUAAUCGGUUAUCAAUUCACUUGGGAACGGAGUAGGGGGUCUGAAAGGUAAUUGGAUCGAGCUUUUGUUACUGUUGAUUGGCUUCUUCUUUUUCCGAAUGUUCAUUUGCAUAAUCUUGUUGCUUCUGUUUCUGAUCAUUCAUCGAUUAAAAUUAUUCUUGAUAGUCCUCCAUCUCGCUAUUCAAAGUACAGGUUUCUCUUUGGAAAUGCGUGGUUCCUUGAACCCGAACUUACUCAUAUAGUGGAGAAUUCUUGGUGUUUAACAGUUGGUUCACACUUGUUAGAAAGUAUUGAUGGUUGUGCUAAAGAUUUGGCAUCGUGGGGCAAGUCUAUUGCUCAUAGGUUCAUUUCUGAAAAAGACAGGCUAAAAUCUAAGCUUGAUCAAUUGUGACGUGGUUUGGGUGAUGUUAAUGCGCAAGAGAUUAUUAAGACGAGGAGAGCUUUUAAUGUCAUUCUUGAGUAGGAAGAAGUCUUUUGGAAGCAGCGUUCUAUGUCUUUUUGGUUGACGCAUGGAGAUUUAAAUACAAAAUUUUUUCAUUCCCAAGCUUCUGAAUGUAGGAGGACGAAUCACAUUGUUUCUCUUCAUGAUGGAGAUGGUAACUUGGUUUCUAAUCAAGAGGGUAUGUGUUCAAUUGUUUAUGAUUAUUUUAAUGCUUUAUUUUCUACGUCCACUAGUGAUAGUGAGAAAGUGGUUCAUUUGGUUGAUCGACGAGCUAGAGAGGAUGACAAUACAAAUCUUGUGCGACAUUUCUCUUUCGAGGAAUUUAAAUUUGCUAUUAAUCAGAUGCAUCCUGAUAAGGAGCCAAGCCUGGAUGGCAUUAACCCCACUUUUUAUCAAAAAUUUUGGCAUUUAUUGGCGGAGGAUGUGUUUCGGAGUUAUUGUACUUGGCUUGAGCAAAGUGCUUUUCCUGAGAAUUUAAACAAUACUACUAUUGUUUUAAUUCCAAAAGUUCCUGCUCCUAAUAAUAUGAAAAAUCUUCGGCCAAUAUCGCUUUUGUGAUGUAGUGUACAAGCUUAUUGCUAAAGUAUUGGCUAAGAGGCUUAAAGCUCUU